rnacentral:rRNA from 1 species
CGUUGUUCGGAAUCACUGGGCUUAAAGGGCGCGUAGGCGGGUGCUCAAGUCCGGGGUGAAAUCCCACAGCUCAACUGUGGAACUGCCUCGGAUACUGGGUGUCUCGAGGGUGGCAGGGGUAUGCGGAACUACCGGUGGAGCGGUGAAAUGCGUUGAUAUCGAUAGGAACUCCGGUGGCGAAGGCGGCAUACUGGUCCACUUCUGACGCUGAGGCGCGAAAGCGUGGGGAGCAAACAGG